ACUCCUACGGGAGGCAGCAGUGGGGAAUCUUAGACAAUGGGGGAAACCCUGAUCUAGCCAUGCCGCGUGAGCGAUGAAGGCCUUAGGGUUGUAAAGCUCUUUCAGUGGGGAAGAUAAUGACGGUACCCACAGAAGAAGCCCCGGCUAACUCCGUGCCAUUACCGCGGCUGCUGG
rnacentral:rRNA from 1 species